rnacentral:rRNA from 1 species
UACGAGAGGCCCAAACGUUAUUCGGAUUUACUGGGCUUAAAGAGUUCGUAGGCGGUCCGUCAAGUGAGGUGUGAAAGCCCUCGGCUCAACCGAGGAAUUGCGCCUCAAACUGUCGGGCUCGAGGGAGAUAGAGGUGAGCGGAACUGAUGGUGGAGCGGUGAAAUGCGUUGAUAUCAUCAGGAACACCAGAGGCGAAGGCGGCUCACUGGGUCUCUUCUGACGCUGAGGAACGAAAGCUAGGGGAGCAAACGGG